GACGAACGCUGGCGGCGUGCUUAACACAUGCAAGUCGAACGGAAAGGCCCUGCUUUUGUUGGUUGCUCGAGUGGCGAACAGGUGAGUAACACGUGAGUAACCUGCCCUUGACUUUGUGAUAACUUCAGGAAACUGGGGCUAAUACCGGAGAUGAGCUCCUGCUGCAUGGUGGGGGUUGGAAAGUUUCGGCGGUUGGGGAUGGACUCGCGGGUUAUCAGCUUGUUGGUGGGGUAGUGGCUUACCAAGGCUUUGACGGGUAGCCGGCCUGAGAGGGUGACCGGGCACAUUGGGACUGAGAUACGCACCAGACUCCUAUGGGACGCAGCAGUGGGGAACCUUGCAGACUGAGGGGAAGCCUGAUGCAGCAACGCCGCGUGCGGGAUGCCGGCCUUCGGGUUGUAAACCGCUUUCGCCUGUGACGAAGCGUGCGUGACGGUAAUGGGUAAAGAAGCACCGGCUAACUACGUG
rnacentral:rRNA from 1 species